rnacentral:rRNA from 1 species
GACCUGGCUGGGCGGUCCGCUUAACGGCGUGUACUGUCUGGCUGGGCCUUACCUCUUGGUGAGCCGGCGUGCCCUUUAUUGGUGUGCGUCGGGGAACCAGGACUUUUACCUUGAGAAAAUUAGAGUGUUCAAAGCAGGCCUAUGCCCGAAUACAUUAGCAUGGAAUAAUAGAAUAGGACCUCGGUUCUAUUUUGUUGGUUUCUAGGGCCGAAGUA